rnacentral:rRNA from 1 species
AGGGCACCACCAGGAGUGGAGCCUGCGGCUUAAUUUGACUCAACACGGGGAAACUCACCCGGCCCGGACACUGGAAGGAUUGACAGAUUGAGAGCUCUUUCUUGAUUCAGUGGGUGGUGGUGCAUGGCCGUUCUUAGUUGGUGGAGUGAUUUGUCUGGUUAAUUCCGAUAACGAACGAGACUCUAGCCUACUAAAUAGAUCGUCGGCUUACAAACGCCGGCGAGACUUCUUAGAGGGACAGGCGGUGAUUCAACCGCACGAAACAGAGCAAUAACAGGUCUGUGAUGCCCUUAGAUGUCCGGGGCCGCACGCGCGCUACACUGAAGUGAUCAGCGUGCUUUUUCAACCUACUCUGUCAAGAGUGGGGAACCCAAUGAACCUUCUUCGUGAUUGGGAUAGGGGAUUGUAAUUGUUCCCCUUGAACGAGGAAUUCUCAGUAAGCGCGAGUCAUAAGCUCGCGUUGAUUACGUCCCUGCCCUUUGUACACACCGCCCGUCGCUACUACCGAUUGAAUGUUUU